rnacentral:rRNA from 1 species
AAAAACAUGGCCUUUUGAGUGGAAUUUAAGGUCGGGCCUGCCCACUGACGUAGUUGAAGGGCCGCGGUAUUUUGACCGUGCAAAGGUAGCAUAAUCAUUAGUCUUUUAAUUGAGGGCUGGAAUGAAUGGUUUGACGAAAUAUUAACUGUCUCUAUAUAAUAAAUGGAAUUUAACUUUUGAGUCAAAAGGCUUAAAUGAAUAUAAAAGACGAGAAGACCCUAUAGAUCUUUAUAUAGUUAAGUAAUUGUUUUAUUUAGUUGUUUUGUAUUCAAUUAUUUUUGCUGUAUUUUGUUGGGGUGACAUAAAGAUAAAAAUAACUCUUUAUAAUGGGUACAUUGAUUUAUGAGUGAUUGAUCCGUUAUUAACGAUUAUAAGACAAAGUUACCUUAGGGAUAACAGCGUAAUUUUUUUUGAGAGUUCUUAUCGACAAGAAAGAUUGCGACCUCGAUGUUGGAUUAAGGAAUAUGAUUAGGUGUAGCAGUUUAAUUAAUAAGUCUGUUCGACUUUUAAAUCCUUACGUCAUCUGA